AUUGAACGCUGGCGGCAGGCUUAACACAUGUAAGUCGAGCGGUAACAGGAGAAAGCUUGCCUUCUUGCUGACGAGCGGCGGACGGGUGAGUAAUGCCUGGGAAAUUGCCCUGAUGUGGGGGAUAACCAUUGGAAACGAUGGCUAAUACCGCAUAGUAGCUUCGGCUUAAAGAGGGGGACCUUCGGGCCUCUCGCGUCAGGAUAUGCCCAGGUGGGAUUAGCUAGUUGGUGGGGUAAGGGCUCACCAAGGCGACGAUCUCUAGCUGGUCUGAGAGGAUGAUCAGCCACACUGGAACUGAGACACGGUCCAGACUCCUACGGGANGCAGCANUGGGGAAUAUUGCACAAUGGGCGCAAGCCUGAUGCAGCCAUGCCGCGUGUAUGAAGAAGGNCUUCGGGUUGUAAAGUACUUUCAGUGGUGAGGAAGGUANUGUGUUUAAUAGG
rnacentral:rRNA from 1 species